GACGAACGCUGGCGGCGUGCUUAACACAUGCAAGUCGAACGGAAAGGCCCUGCUUUUGUGGGGUGCUCGAGUGGCGAACGGGUGAGUAACACGUGAGUAACCUGCCCUUGACUUUGGGAUAACUUCAGGAAACUGGGGCUAAUACCGGCUAGGAGCUCCUGCUGCAUGGGGGUGGUUGGAAAGUUUCGGCGGUUGGGGAUGGACUCGCGGCUUAUCAGCUUGUUGGUGGGGUAGUGGCUUACCAAGGCUUUGACGGGUAGCCGGCCUGAGAGGGUGACCGGCCACAUUGGGACUGAGAGACGGCCCAGACUCCUACGGGAGGCAGCAGUGGGGAAUAUUGCACAAUGGGCGGAAGCCUGAUGCAGCAACGCCGCGUGCGGGAUGACGGCCUUCGGGUUGUAAACCGCUUUCGCCUGUGACGAAGCGGGAGUGACGGUAAUGGGUAAAGAAGCACCGGCUAACUACGUG
rnacentral:rRNA from 1 species